GGGCUGUCCAUUUCAUCCAGGUACCAUUAAUGAUCUCCAAGACCAAAUUGACUCCUUAGCUGAAGUUGUUCUACAAAAUAGGAGAAGGUUAGACUUACUCAGAGCAGAGCAGGGAGGGAUAUGCUUAGCC